rnacentral:rRNA from 1 species
GAUCCUGGCUCAGGAUGAACGCUAGCGACAGGCCUAACACAUGCAAGUCGAGGGGCAGCGGGGAGUAGCAAUACUCCGCCGGCGACCGGCGCACGGGUGAGUAACACGUGUGCAACCAACCCCGUACCGGGAGAUAACCCGCGGAAACGUGGACUAAUACCCCAUAACACCUUUCCCCCGCAUGGGGGAGAGUUUAGAAUCCCGAUGGUACGGGACGGGCACGCGCGACAUUAGGUAGUUGGCGGGGUAACGGCCCACCAAGCCGACGAUGU